rnacentral:rRNA from 1 species
UACGGAGGGUGCGAGCGUUGUCCGGAAUCAUUGGGCGUAAAGGGCGCGUAGGCGGCCGUCCCACGCGUGCGGUGAAAGUCAGGGGCUCAACCCCUGAUCGGCCGUGCGAACUGGGGGGCUCGAGCACUGUAGAGGCAGGCGGAAUUCCGGGUGUAGCGGUGGAAUGCGUAGAGAUCCGGAAGAACACCGGUGGCGAAGGCGGCCUGCUGGGCAGUGGCUGACGCUGAGGCGCGACAGCGUGGGGAGCAAACAGG